GACAACUUCUCAGGCUACUAUAAGGAGGAUACGUUAUACCAAGUCAAAAGAGAAAGCAGGUAGAUUGGUUAGGAGGCUAUUGCAGUAGCCCAAGGAUGAGGCAAUUGAGCCUUGGACUAGAGCCAUAUCAAUGGAAAUGGUGAAAAGUAGAGAGAUUUGGGGUGUAUGUACUACCCAGCAAAGGAGACACUUAGAAGUGACGUAGGAUGAAAAACAGAAUAGUGGGGGUUUUGUUUAUUUUUUUUAAAUAGAGAUGGGGUCUCUCUAUGUUGCCCAGGCUGGUCUCAAACCCCUAGGCUCAAGUUAUCCUCCCGCCUCAGCCUAUGAAGUGCUGGGAUUACAGGAAUAAAUCACUGUGCCCAGCCAUAGGAUAGUGUUUUAAGAAAGAAAGAAGGGUCAACUAAGUUUAAUGAUGCUGAGAGAUAAAGUUAGAUGAGCACAAACAAAAAUGUGGCCACAGGAUUUGCACAAUAAAGAUUGUUGUUAGCUUCAUUAUGGAAGCAUUUCAAUUGUUUGGAAUGGAGGACAAAUUCCUGAAAAGGAUAUGUUGAGGAGUGAAUAGGAGGUGAAGGUGUGAAGACAGACACUAUUAAAAAUGCUUAAAAGAAGUUUGAAGGGAAGUAAAUUAAUGAUGCCUGAAAGUGGCUGUAGGGUCACAGAAAUUGUUUUGUUAUGCUUAGCAUAUUUGUUUUUAGGAUGACAGACGCUAAAGUAUAUCUGUGUGCUAAUGAAAAUAAUGUAAAAAUGAGGGUGAAUUGUUGAAUAGUCAAAGAUAAAAAUGACAGAAGCAAAUUCCUUCAGAUGAUCACAGGGUACGUGAGGUGGAGUCCAUGAGUGGAGUCUUUUAAAGGACAUAGGAUACCUCUCUUAGUAGUGGAAGAGAAGACAGAGGGUGAAAGUGCAGACAAUGUGAUGCCACCUAGGCAUAAACCCUAAGGAAUUCUAAUUGUGAAUUUGAAAACAAAACAGAUCAUAUCACUGGGAGGGACCU
rnacentral:lncRNA from 1 species